GCUGAGCGCAAAAUACAAAAAAAACGUCGUAGUUGUGCGUUAAAACAAUAAACGCGCGCGUAUGCGUGUGUGUAUAUGUGUACCUCUUCUACAUGUGUAUAUG